UGCAAGUCGAGCGAGGCCGGGUAGCAAUACCUGAGUCGAGCGGCGCACGGGUGAGUAACGCGUGGAUAACCUGCCUGAUGGUGGGGGAUAACCCGGGGAAACUCGGGCUAAUACCGCAUAACACCGAGAGGUCAAAGGGGGCCGCAAGGCUCUCGCCUGCAGAGGGGUCCGCGUCCGAUUAGCUAGUUGGCAGGGUAAUGGCCUACCAAGGCGACGAUCGGUAGCCGGCCUGAGAGGGUGAUCGGCCACACUGGAACUGAGACACGGUCCAGACUCCUACGGGAGGCAGCAGUGGGGAAUUUUGCGCAAUGGGCGAAAGCCUGACGCAGCAACGCCGCGUGGAGGAUGAAGGUCUUCGGAUUGUAAACUCCUAUCAGUGGGGAAAAAGGGGAACGGGCUCAUACCCCGUUUCAUUGAGUGUACCCGCAGAGGAAGCCCCGGCUAACUCUGUGCCAGCAGCCGCGGUAAUACAGAGGGGGCAAGCGUUAUUCGGAAUUAUUGGGCGUAAAGGGCGCGUAGGCGGCCCUUCAAGUGGUAGGUGAAAUCCCUCGGCUCAACCGAGGAGCUGCCCGCCAAACUGAAGAGCUUGAGUCCGGGAGAGGUGAGUGGAAUUCCCAGUGUAGCGGUGAAAUGCGUAGAUAUUGGGAGGAACACCAGUGGCGAACGCGGCUCACUGGACCGGAACUGACGCUGAGGCGCG
rnacentral:rRNA from 1 species